rnacentral:rRNA from 1 species
GAUGAACGCUGGCGGCGUGCCUAAUACAUGCAAGUCGAGCGAACGGACGAGAAGCUUGCUUCUCUGAUGUUAGCGGCGGACGGGUGAGUAACACGUGGAUAACCUACCUAUAAGACUGGGAUAACUUCGGGAAACCGGAGCUAAUACCGGAUAAUAUUUUGAACCGCAUGGUUCAAAAGUGAAAGACGGUCUUUCUGUCACUUAUAGAUGGAUCCGCGCUGCAUUAGCUAGUUGGUAAGGUAACGGCUUACCAAGGCAACGAUGCAAAGCCGACCUGAAGGGGAGAUUGGCUACCCGGUAUCAGAGGAUCAGCCCAGACUCCUGCGCGAAGAAGCAGUAGAGAAUCUUACGCGAGGGAGGAGAGCCUGACGGAGGAACGCCGCGGGAGUGAUGAAGGAGUUCGGAUCGGUAAGCGCUGUUAGUAGGAGAGAACAUAUGUGUAAGUACCUGUGCACAUCUUGACGGUACCGGGUCAAAAAGCCACGGCUAACUACGUG